rnacentral:rRNA from 1 species
AUUGAACGCUGUCGGCAGGCCUAACACAUGCAAGUCGAACGGUAACAGGAAGCAGCUUGCUGCUUUGCUGACGAGUGGCGGACGGGUGAGUAAUGUCUGUGAAACUGCCCGAUGGAGGGGGAUAACUACUGGAAACGGUAGCUAAUACCGCAUAACGUCGCAAGCCCAAAGAGCGGGACCUUAGGGCCUCUUGCCAUCGGAUGUGCCCAGAUGGGAUUAGCUAGUAGGUGGGGUAACGGCUCACCUAGGCGACGAUCCCUAGCUGGUCUGAGAGGACGACCAGCCACACUGGAACUGAGACACGGUCCAGACUCCUACGGGAGGCAGCAGUGGGGAAUAUUGCGCAAUGGGCGAAAGCCUGAUGGAGCCAUGCCGCGUGUAUGAAGAAGGCCUUCGGGUUGUAAAGUACUUUCAGCGGGGAGGAAGGAAGUAGAGUUAAUACCUUCGCUCAUUGACGUUACCCGAAGAAAAAGCCCCGGCUAACUCCGUG